rnacentral:rRNA from 1 species
UACGUAGGGUGCAAGCGUUAAUCGGAAUUACUGGGCGUAAAGCGUGCGCAGGCGGUUUUGUAAGUCUGACGUGAAAUCCCCGGGCUUAACCUGGGAAUUGCGUUGGAGACUGCAAGGCUGGAGUCUGGCAGAGGGGGGUAGAAUUCCACGUGUAGCAGUGAAAUGCGUAGAGAUGUGGAGGAACACCGAUGGCGAAGGCAGCCCCCUGGGCCAAGACUGACGCUCAUGCACGAAAGCGUGGGGAGCAAACAAG